rfam:Ciona intestinalis ciona0227, whole genome shotgun sequence.
GGCGCCGUGGCGUAGUGGUUAGCGCGCCUGCCUGUAACCCAGAGUUAAUGGGUUCAAGGCUCGUCGCUGCUA